rnacentral:rRNA from 1 species
UACGAAGGGGGCGAGCGUUGUUCGGAAUUACUGGGCGUAAAGGGCGCGCAGGCGGCCCUUGAAGUCAGGCGUGAAAGCCCCGGGCUCAACCUGGGAGGUGCGCUUGAUACUCGAGGGCUUGAGUGCGGGAGAGGAGAGUGGAAUUCCCAGUGUAGAGGUGAAAUUCGUAGAUAUUGGGAAGAACACCGGUGGCGAAGGCGGUUCUCUGGGCCUGUACUGACGCUGAGGAGCGAAGGCGUGGGGAGCGAACAGG